rnacentral:rRNA from 1 species
UACACUCCUGCGGGAGGCAGCAGUGGGGAAUUUUGGACAAUGGGCGAAAGCCUGAUCCAGCAAUGCCGCGUGCAGGAUGAAGGCCUUCGGGUUGUAAACUGCUUUUGUACGGAACGAAAAAGCUCCUUCUAAUACAGGGGGCCCAUGACGGUACCGUAAGAAUAAGCACCGGCUAACUACGUGCCAGCAGCCGCGGUAAUACGUAGGGUGCGAGCGUUAAUCGGAAUUACUGGGCGUAAAGCGUGCGCAGGCGGUUAUGUAAGACAGAUGUGAAAUCCCCGGGCUCAACCUGGGAACUGCAUUUGUGACUGCAUGGCUAGAGUACGGUAGAGGGGGAUGGAAUUCCGCGUGUAGCAGUGAAAUGCGUAGAUAUGCGGAGGAACACCGAUGGCGAAGGCAAUCCCCUGGACCUGUACUGACGCUCAUGCACGAAAGCGUGGGGAGCAAACAGGAUUAGAAACCCCAGUAGUCCCAUG